rnacentral:rRNA from 1 species
GACGAACGCUGGCGGCGUGCUUAACACAUGCAAGUCGAGCGGGAUCCAACCGGUGGCAACACCGGGGAAGAUCUAGCGGCGAGCGGGUGAGUAACACGUGAGCAACCUGCCCCGAAGACUGGGAUAACACCGGGAAACCGGUGCUAAUACCGGAUGUCGUCAUUAGGCCGCAUGACCUGAUGAUGAAAGGAUUCAUCGCUUCGGGAGGGGCUCGCGGGCUAUCAGCUGUUGGUGGGGUAACGGCCUACCAAGGCGACGACGGCUAGCUGGUCUGAGAGGACGACCAGCCACACUGGGACUGAGAUACGGCCCAGACUCCUACGGA